rnacentral:lncRNA from 1 species
UGCUCUGUUCUCUCCCUUCCUUGCUGCGCGAUGGCUGUCAAAAGCCGCCUUGUUGUUAUGCGACUGUGGAAAGGGACCUCUUCUCCCGGGUAGAUAUCAUUACCUCUUUUUUACCGGAGGAGAAGGUAAGGGGCCUUUAUAGGGUUUCGGAAGGGACGAAAGGGGCGAGUGAUGUUUCGGAACUUGGACUGUUUUAGGUGGGGUUUAAUGGAGGGUUUUGCUUGCAGGGCAGAGAAAGGAACUGCGAGCGUGAAAUGUAGAAGCGUGAGGACCGAGGCAAACGAUACAGCGGAUGUCAAAGAAGGCAGAGAUAUGGAAAGAAGAACAGAGACUCUUCUUCCCAGCAACAUUUAAGUGGUGGCUCAGCAAAUCUCCC